CCUACGGGUGGCAGCAGUGGGGAAUAUUGGACAAUGGGGGGAACCCUGAUCCAGCGACGCCGCGUGAGUGAAGAAGUAUUUCGGUAUGUAAAGCUCUAUCAGCAGGGAAGUAAGAAAUGACGGUACCUGACUAAGAAGCCCCGGCUAACUACGUGCCAGCAGCCGCGUUAAUAGGUAGGGGGCAAGCGUUAUUCGGAUUUAUUGGGUUUAAAGGGUUCGUAGGCGGUCCGGAAAGUCAGCGGUAAAAGCCCGGGACUCAACCCCGGCGAGCCGUUGAAACUGUCAGACUAGAGACGGCGAGAGGUACGCGGAAUGCGCGGUGUAGCGGUGAAAUGCAUAGAUAUCGCGAAGAACUCCGAUUGCGAAGGCAGCGUACCGGCGCCGGACUGACGCUGAGGCACGAAAGCGUGGGUAUCGAACAGGAUUAGAUACCCGAGUAGUC
rnacentral:rRNA from 1 species